UCACAGCCAUAUCACCCUGCAGCCCAAGACUGGUUGCCCACUGAAGCUAAGCAGGGUUGAGCCUGGUCAGUACCUGGAUGGGAGACCUCCUGGGAAAACUAGGUUGCUGUUGGAA
rnacentral:rRNA from 1 species